CGCACCUUGCGCUCCUUGGUAUUCCUUGGAGCAUGCCUGUUUGAGUAUCAUGAAAUCUUCAAAGUAGACCUUUUGUUAAUUCAAUUGGUUCCUUACUUUGGCAUUGGAGGUCUUUGCAGCUUCACACCUGCUCCUCUUUGUUCAUUAGCUGGAUCUCAGUGUUAUGCUUGGUUCCACUCGGCGUGAUAAGUAUCUAUCGCUGAGGACACUGUAAAAGGUGGCCAAGGUAAAUGCAGAUGAACCGCUUCUAACAGUCCAUUGACUUGGACAAAAUAAAUAUUUAUGAUCUGAUCUCAAAUCAGGUAGGACUACCCGCUGAACUUAA
rnacentral:rRNA from 1 species